GCACAGCUGAAUACUCUGUUCUUUUUAUCAGUAAUUUACACAGCCAGACACCAUGCAAAAGUACAGUCUUCCCUUUCAAAUGGUUAUGGUGGCACGCGAAGUUUUUUCCGUAGCACAUAGUUAUUAAAGGUGAAUACAAAU